GUGAGGAAUUUUCCGCAAUGGGCGAAAGCCUGACGGAGCAAUGCCGCGUGAAGGAUGAAGGCCUAUGGGUUGUAAACUUCUUUUCUCAGAAAAGAAUUAUGACGGUAUCUGAGGAAUAAGCAUCUGCUAACUCUGUGCCAGCAGCCGCGGUAAGACAGAGGAUGCAAGCGUUAUCCGGAAUGAUUGGGCGUAAAGCGUCUGUAGGUUGUUUAAAAAGUAUUCUGUCAAAGAUUAGGGCUUAACCCUAGAUAGGCAGAAUAAACUUUUAAGCUAGAGUUUGGUAGAGGCAGAGGGAAUUCCCGGUGGAGCGGUGAAAUGCGUAGAUAUCGGGAGGAACACCAAAGGCGAAGGCACUCUGCUGGGCCAAUACUAACACUGAGAGACGAAAGCGAGGGGAGCAAAUGGGAUUAGAAACCCCGGUAGUCC
rnacentral:rRNA from 1 species